GGAGACGCUCUUCACCCCCCGACUUCAAAAUCUCAGAAAACUCCAAACACGUGGGCACAGUCAUUUAAUCUAGAGUAUUUAUUAUGAAUAGGCCUUCACAAAUAUCACAAGAUGUAGCACAACCGCUUUCUAAUCAGCAUGAAACCGCGAUGAUGUCCUCCGACGAAGAUUCCAUGUCACGCGACUCGGGGAUCUGCGAGUUGAUGGACGAGAACACGCCGGUUUGCUUCUCCUCAAUGUCUACAGAGUCGACGACCGUCCAAGUCGAAGAGUGCAUGGAAAUCGAUGAGGAUGAAAAUUUACAGCCAGGACCUGUGUCUCGCCGCCAGAAAAAAGUCACGUUCAGACGAGAGAAGAGCUCCUGCCAGGUGCGUCUGUUCGACGAGUCGCCCACCUCGCACAAGAUGUUCAUGCGCCCGCAAGCCCCGCUGUCGGUUCGAUCCGAAAACCAACAACUCCUACAGCAGCGGAAACGGAAGUUCGAGAAGAGCGAACAAUCGUCAGAUCAUUUCCAUUUAGAGCCGAUGAGCGUCGAGGCGAUGGACGACGACGAAAUCGUGAUGAUGGACCAGAACACCACCAAGUGGGAGCCAGGCUUUCGAGCGCCGAACCAUAAGAAGGGACGUCUCACCCGUUCAGCAACCGCCUUCCCGUCACUAGAGACAUUUGAGGAGGAAGAGCACGAAGAGCAACAUCAUCUGAACGUGAAAUACCACCUCAAAACUGUUGCAAAGGAAUCCUCGAAAGGCUUCAGAAGAAUCACCGCCGAAACAUUGAGAGACAUCUUUUUCCGACUCUCUGAAAAAGAAUUUGAUGACAAGUAUAUUCUCAUUGAUUGCCGCUACCCAUAUGAAUAUAAUCGUGGUCACAUCAAGAACGCCAUCAACCACUUCGAUCGGGUCACAGUGAGCAAGAUCUUCUAUGAUGAGAAUGGCCGAAAGCGGUGCAACAAGAUUCCGAUCUUCUAUUGCGAAUUCUCACAGGCUCGUGGUCCAAAAAUGGCGUAUGCUCUUCGGCAAGUAGAUCGAGAGCUUAAUGUGAACCACUACCCAAAAUGUGAUUAUGAAGAGAUGUAUGUGCUCGAUCUUGGAUAUCGAAAUUUUUUCUUCGCUGCGAACGAAGCCAAUAUCACGAAUCUCUGCCAACCCCACGCAUACUGUGAAAUGCACGACAAGGAGCACACGAUGGAGCUCAAGAAGUACAACUUCCACAACAAGGGUCAAUCGGUACUGCGGACUGUGAGCAUGAGCCGCUCCUUCAAGUCCUUGCCGACGGGUUCCGCGUUCAACUUCGUCGCCUCAUCUGCUUCGUUCACCUCGGCACCGUCCACGUCGACAGAGAACAUUGAUACCAACGAUGAUUGCCAGAAAAGCCGGACGCCUGCCGUUCCGCGGAUCGCUUCGAGGCGUAACUUGUUCAGUGAUCCUUCACACUCUCCAACGAACUUUGCACAAUUUCCUCUGACUUGUUCACGAGAAACGCCCUCUCCCCACAAACAUCCCUUGACAUGUCCUCGUUUUUCAUAA
rnacentral:misc_RNA from 1 species